rfam:Picea glauca, whole genome shotgun sequence.
UGAGAUUACCAUUGUUCCUAGCUACUAUCUAGAUAAACCACAACCAAGGGAACGAGCUUGGUAGAAUCAGCUGGAAAAGAAGACCAUGUUGAGCUUGACUCUAUUAUGACUUUGUGAAGUGAUUUGUGAGGUGUUGAAUAAGUGGGAGUCAUUUUCGGCGCAGGUUAAAUACCACUAAUUUUAACGUUAUUUUACUUAUUUCAUGGGCCAGAGAUGGGGUAUUGCACAUAUGUUAAAAGAUAAUGCACAUUUCCUCAAAGUGUUGUCAUUGAUGGAAAUGGUUGAGACCUCAUUCUUCACACACUUGAUGACAAUGAGUUUAGGAAACCAAAGAGGAUCAUUGCUUUUAAGGACGAAGAAAGUUCCUACAAUCCCUAUGUUUUUAGCCAACACCCCCCUAUAAUUAUUUAUGUUAUGGCUCCUCAUUGU